rnacentral:rRNA from 1 species
UACGAGGGGGGCAAGCGUUGUUCGGAAUUAUUGGGCGUAAAGGGUGCGUAGGCGGUUUGGUAAGUCUUAUGUGAAAUCUACAGGCUCAACUUGUAGUCUGCAUGAGAAACUGCCGGGCUUGAGUAUGGGAGAGGUGAGUGGAAUUCCUGGUGUAGCGGUGAAAUGCGUAGAUAUCAGGAGGAAUACCUGUGGCGAAAGCGGCUCACUGGACCAUAACUGACGCUGAUGCACGAAAGCUAGGGGAGCAAACAGG